GACGAACGCUGGCGGCGGGCUUAACACAUGCAAGUCGAACGGAAAGGCCCUGCUUACUUGGGGUGCUCGAGUGGCGAACGGGUGAGUAACACGGGAGUAACCUUCCCUUUACGGGGUGAUAACUUCAAGAAACUGGUGCUAAUACAUGAUAGGAGCGCGUGCUGCUGGGGGGUGGUUGGAAAGUUUAGGCUGUUGGGGAUGUACGCGCGGCUUAUCAGCUUGUGGGGUGGGUGGCGGCUUAGCAAGGCUUUGACGGGUGGCCGGCCUGGGAGGGUGAACGGCCUCCUUGGGCCUGCGGUACGGCCCAGACGCGUACGUGGGGCAGCAGUCGGGAGUCUUGCACAGUCGGCGGAAGCCUGAGGCAGAAGCGCUGCGUGCGGGAUGAACGCCUUCGGGUUGUAAAGCGCUUUAGCUUAUGACGAAGCGUGAGUGACGGUACUGGGUAAAGAAGCACCGGCUAACUACGUG
rnacentral:rRNA from 1 species